rnacentral:rRNA from 1 species
GUAGGUGGCAAGCGUUGUCCGGAAUUAUUGGGCGUAAAGCGCGCGCAGGCGGUUCUUUAAGUCUGAUGUGAAAGCCCACGGGCUCAACCGUGGAGGGUCAUUGGAAACUGGAGGGCUUGAGUACAGAAGAGGAAAGCGGAAUUCCACGUGUAGCGGUGAAAUGCGUAGAGAUGUGGAGGAACACCAGUGGCGAAGGCGGCUUUCUGGUCUGUAACUGACGCUGAGGCGCGAAAGCGUGGGGAGCAAACAGGAUUAGAUACCCUGGUAGUCCACGCCGUAAACGAUGAGUGCUAAGUGUUAGGGGGUUUCCGCCCCUUAGUGCUGCAGCUAACGCAUUAAGCACUCCGCCUGGGGAGUACGGCCGCAGGCUG